CAUAAACCCUUCGUUUCCAAACCCAUUUUGUUUCCAAACCUAUUUCCUGUAAACGACCUCCAAACCUUUUUUCUCUCGCUGUCACCAAACUGCCUUCUCCAUUUUCCCUCGUCGUCACCUCCGUCCAAGCUCUUCAACCCAACCGUCCAAGCACUAUUUUCACUUGCCGUCACCAAGCUCCCUCCACAUCCUCCAUGUAUUCCGGCCAGAAUUCUUCACCAAAGUUUCAGGUCAGAAUAGUAGCGCUCUACAUUGCAUAUUUGGGGACCACAAAUUGGGCGUCAAGAUCAAUGUAUAUAGUUUUCGGGGCAUUAGGAUAUCAGUGGUUUUUUUGAAAGCUGAAGGCAGUUCAAUGAGGCAUAGAUUUGGCAAAUGAUAUUUUCAAUGAAGCAGUUCAGCUAGCACUGCUACUUGUAGUGGCUUGAUGCUGAGGGCAGUAUGCCGGUUAUAGUUGAGGGGAAAUGCAAAGGUAUCAUGCUAGCAGCUGCACUAGUGCAGUUAAUAAUAAUUCAAUUGGUGGGCCAUCGGCUAGGGACAUUAGAAGAAUUGAUUCAUCUUCUUGCCAACCAACAUUCCUGUAAGUUCAAGGUAAGAUACUUUCUACUGACCAUGUCCUUUUAGAAAAUCAUAUUAAAUUUUGAAUGUGAAUGUUCCACCUACGACAGGCUACUGCAUAUUCUGAAUUGUUGUGGUUGUGAAUUGUGAUUCAGCUUCUCAUGCUUCUUGUCAGCUACUAACUUGCAAUAGUGAUUAAUUUUCUUUACUUGAUGUCAUUCUGAACCUUGAAAGCUACUACAGAGAUGUUUCAUUUUUCUUGAGUAAUCAUAAUGCUGUAUUUUUCUGUUCAAGUAUCUAUUAAUUUCUUCUUCGGUUCUGUUAUUUUUUCAACUGAGUGCCUUAGUUUUGUAACUAGAAAUUGUUUACUAUAAUUCGUGAAUAGUUCAAGUAUUUAUCCUCUCAGAUUUGUUGAUAAAUAAGUGAAGAAAAUGUAGCACAUAUGGGAUUUUCCUUCCUAAAAUUCAAUGUUUAAUUAUGCUGAAUUUAACAAAUAUUUCUGGUUGAAUUAAUUAUCUUAUGUCAUAGAGAUCUCUAUGAAGCAUCUCUGGUUUUUUCAUUUUAAAAUUGAAAGCACUGUCUGAAAUAGUAUUUUGACUUGAAGGUUAGUGUGACAUUAUUAGCUUAUUUCAUGUUUCAUCAAUAAUUACCAUUCAUUUUUUGCUUGUAAUGUAUUUUAAUUUUCUAAUAUUCAAGGUGUUGAGGUUGGAUAUCAGUUCUAUUCUCGUGCCGAAAUGGUGGCGAUUGGUUUUCAUAGCCAAUGGUUAAAUGGCAUUGACUAUAUGGGCCAAUCUUAUUCCAAAGAGGUAUUUGAUGACACUAUAGAAUUACGACAUGAUGAUUUGUAUGAUUUACGACUUCGUUGGGCAAAAUGUUUCUUUGAGUUAUAUAAAGCUUAAGCUUUAUCUGCAAAUGUGAUUUUGGUGUUGUCUUCAGGAGCUACAACUCAUCUUCUCGUGGAUGCAUGUUGGUAUUUCAAGUGCGUGAAAAAGGACAUAAAUGGUUGGAUAUUUGUUGUUUUGUUAUUUUGUAGUAGUCCACCGUUUGUAAACUUUCUUAUAAUUUUGUACACUUGUGUAUGCUAGAUUAAUACUUUUGUAAAUUUAGAAGAACAUAUAUAUGCUUCUUAACUAUUUGGUGCAAUGAAAUUUUAUCCUUCACUGGUUAGAAACAUAUGAAAAUAGUGAUCUAAAUGUGGUCUGUGUGCUGUGGGAAAAAUGUGCAAAAUAGCGACCUAACUUUGGUCCUUAUAUGAAAAAUUAGGUAAAAAAAAUUACAGGUUAAAAUAGGAAAAACAGCUAUUAUACGCUUAAAAACAACUUAUCUAUUACAUCGGGCAAAAUGGAAAACUGAUGUAAAAACUUAUC